CCUACGGGCGGCAGCAGUGAGGAAUAUUGGUCAAUGGGCGCGAGCCUGAACCAGCCAAGUCGCGUGAGGGAGGACGGCCCUACGGGUUGUAAACCUCUUUUGCCGGGGAGCAACGGGCGUCACGUGUGGCGCCACUGAGAGUACCCGGAGAAAAAGCAUCGGCUAACUCCGUGCCAGCAGCCGCGGUAAUACGGAGGAUGCGAGCGUUAUCCGGAUUUAUUGGGUUUAAAGGGAGCGUAGGUGGAUUGUUAAGUCAGUUGUGAAAGUUUGCGGCUCAACCGUAAAAUUGCAGUUGAAACUGGCAGUCUUGAGUACAGUAGAGGUGGGCGGAAUUCGUGGUGUAGCGGUGAAAUGCUUAGAUAUCACGAAGAACUCCGAUUGCGAAGGCAGUUCACUGGACUGCAACUGACACUGAGGCUCGAAAGUGUGGGUAUCAAACAGGAUUAGAUACCCUUGUAGUC
rnacentral:rRNA from 1 species